CUCCAAGUUAUUAAGAGCCAACGGUGGAUGCCUUGGCGCCUAAAGCCGAAGAAGGACGUGGACGACUGCGAUAAGCUCUGGGUAACUGUCUAACAAGUUUAGAUCCAGAGAUCUCCGAAUUGGGAAACCAGGCAUCUUACAAGAUGUCAUCUAUGCCUGAACACAUAGGGCAUAAGAAGGGAACCAGGGGAAUUGAAACAUCUCAGUACCCUGAGGAAAGGAAAGCAAAAUGCGACUCCCCAAGUAGCGGCGAGCGAAAAGGGAAUAGCCCAAACCAAUGCGGUGUAAUAGUCUGGCGACGUUGCCGUAUUGGGGUAGUGGGAGUUAGUAAAGUGUACGCCAGUUGCACUAUAGGAGUUACAAAUCAGAUAGCUAGCAGAAGUGUCCUGGAAAGACACGCCACAGUGGGUAACAGCCCCGUAUGCGAAAGCCAUCUGACUCCUAACUAACCACCCAAGUAGCGCGGGAUCUGGGAAAGCCGGCGUGAAUCUGCGAGGACCACCUCGUAAGGCUAAGUACUAAUAGGCGACCGAUAGUGAACUAGUACCGUGAGGGAAAGGUGAAAAGAACCCCGGGAGGGGAGUGAAAUAGUACCUGAAACCGUUGGUUUACAAGCAGUCAAAGCGUAGUCAACUCUGUUGGCCGCAAUGGCGUGCCUUUUGAAGAAUGAGCCAGCGAGUUACCGUGUGUGGCGAGGUUAACCCAUGAAGGGGUAGCCGAAGCGAAAGCGAGUCUGAAUAGGGCGUCUAGUCGCAUGCGGUAGACCCGAAGCCGAGUGAUCUAUCCAUGGGCAGGCUGAAGCGGGGGUAAGACCCCGUGAAGGGCCGAACCCACUCUGGUUGAAAACAGGGGGGAUGACCUGUGGAUAGGGGUGAAAGGCCAAGCAAACUCGGUGAUAGCUGGUUCUCCCCGAAAUGUAUUUAGGUACAGCGUCAGAUGUUCAGCAUCGGAGGUAGAGCACUGAAUGGGUUAUGGGGCGUACAUGCUUACUGAUCCCAAUCAAACUCCGAAUGCCGAUGCUCCAGAGUCUGGCAGUGAGACCACGGGGGAUGAGCUUCGUUGGUCGAGAGGGAAACAGCCCAGACCGCCAGCUAAGGCCCCAAAUUCCUGACUAAGUGGUAAACGAUGUGAAACUGCAUAGACAGCCAAGAGGUUGGCUUAGAAGCAGCCACCCUUUAAAGAGUGCGUAAUAGCUCACUGGUCGAGUGGUUUUGCGCGGACAAUGUAACGGGGCUCAAGUCAGGAGCCGAAGCUGCGGACUUCCUAAUUUACUUAGGGAGUGGUAGGGGAGCGUCGAGCUUGCAGUGAAGCAGGUGCGUGAGCCUCUGUGGAGCGAGCUCGAGUGAGAAUGCUGGCAUGAGUAGCGAAAGAGGGGUGAGAAACCUCUCCGCCGAAUGUCCAAGGGUUCCUGGGCAAGGCUAAUCCGCCCAGGGUGAGUCGGGAGCUAAGGCGAGGCCGAAAGGCGUAGUCGAUGCACAACAGGUUUAUAUUCCUGUACCGCCUAAGAGACGUUAUCAGCAAUGGAGGGACGCAGGAAGGUAGGUGAUCCCAGGCGUUGGUUGUCCUGGGGAAAACGUGUAGGGCGAGGGCCAGGCAAAUCCGGACCUCAUAUAGCCUGAGACGUGAUUCCGAGUCGCUUUAGACGAAGUCACUGAUCCUAUGCUGCCGAGAAAAUCUUCUAGCGAGUGUCUUGGGCGCCCGUACCCCAAACCGACACAGGUGGACAAGUAGAGAAUACUAAGGCGAUCGGGAGAACUGUGGUUAAGGAACUCGGCAAAUUACCUCCGUAACUUCGGGAGAAGGAGGGCCUCAUUAGGGUGAUUGAUCUUGCAUCUUUGAGCUCGAAGAGGUCGCAGAGACCAGGGGGUAGCGACUGUUUACUAAAAACACAGGAGCGUGCUAAGUCGCAAGACGACGUAUACGCUCUGACGCCUGCCCGGUGCCGGAAGGUUACGAGGAGAGGUUAGCCCGCAAGGGCGAAGCUUUGAAUCUAAGCCCCGGUAAACGGCCGCCGUAACUAUAACGGUGCUAAGGUAGCGAAAUUCCUUGUCGGGUAAGUUCCGACCUGCACGAAUGGCGUAACGACUUCCCCACUGUCUCAACCACAGACCCGGCGAAAUUGAAGUACGAGUAAAGAUGCUCGUUAGCUGCAUCAGGACGGAAAGACCCCGUGGACCUUUACUGUAGCUUGAUGUUGGGCUUUGGUACAGAUUGUGUAGGAUAGGUGGGAGACUGUGAAGCUGGAGCGCUAGCUCUGGUGGAGUCGUCCUUGAAAUACCACCCUGUCUGUGCCGGGGCUCUAACCUUGACCCGUUAUCCGGGUUAGGAACAGCGUCAGGUGGGCAGUUUGACUGGGGCGGUCGCCUCCUAAAGUGUAACGGAGGCGCCCAAAGGUUCCCUCAGACUGGUUGGCAAUCAGUCGUCGAGUGCAAUGGCAUAAGGGAGCUUGACUGCGAGACCUACAAGUCAAGCAGGUGCGAAAGCAGGGCAUAGUGAUCCGGCGGUAGCGUGUGGAAGCGCCGUCGCUCAACGGAUAAAAGGUACCCCGGGGAUAACAGGCUCAUCUUCCCCAAGAGUCCAUAUCGACGGGAAGGUUUGGCACCUCGAUGUCGGCUCGUCGCAUCCUGGGGCUGAAGCCGGUCCCAAGGGUUGGGCUGUUCGCCCAUUAAAGCGGUACGCGAGCUGGGUUUAGAACGUCGUGAGACAGUUCGGUCCCUAUCCGAUGCAGCCGUAGGAAACUUGAGAAAGGCUGUCCCUAGUACGAGAGGACCGGGACGGACGCAGCUCUCGUGUGCCAGUUGUCCUGCCAAGGGCACGGCUGGUUAGCGACCUGCGGAAGGGAUAAGCGCUGAAAGCAUAUAAGCGCGAAGCUCUUUUCAAGAUGAGGUUUCCCACAGGGUUAACCUGGUAAGGCCCGUGAGAGACGAUCACGUUGAUAGGCCGGAUGUGUAAGUACAGUAAUGUAUUCAGCUGACCGGUACUAAUAGGCCGAGGACUUGGAGUC
rfam:Ferrithrix thermotolerans DSM 19514 genome assembly, contig: EJ54DRAFT_scaffold00064.64